rnacentral:rRNA from 1 species
UACGUAGGGAGCAAGCGUUGUCCGGAAUCAUUGGGCGUAAAGCGCGCGUAGGUGGCCUCGUAAGUCCGUUGUGAAAGUCAAAGGCUCAACCUUUGAAAGCCGAUGGAUACUGUGAAGCUAGAGUACGGAAGAGGCGAGUGGAAUUCCUGGUGUAGCGGUGGAAUGCGCAGAUAUCAGGAGGAACACCAAUAGCGAAGGCAGCUCGCUGGGACGUUACUGACACUGAGGCGCGAAAGCGUGGGGAGCGAACAGG